AGAGUGUGUAGUACUUAGAAAUCAUCAGAUGUACACAUCACCUCCUGUGUAGCUUCAUUAGCCAUUAUGGAAGCCGUAGCUUCCAUAGCUAUUAUGGAACUGAUGCAUAGACAAGAUGUGGGCAUUUUUACCAUCAUGUCCUGAUGUACCAAGUGCACGGGUUUCAAACACCCUGUCACCCAGCCCUGCUCAGAGGCAUCAGAGCUCUCAAAGGGUAUUCCAAGGUUGCUUAAGACGAAAACUGCAGAAGUCUACAUAAAACAACUCAGAGAAAGCAGGUCACUGGCAGCCACUCAAAACGCAGACUCAGCCAGUGCACGCCGAGUGAUUCAUAACUUCAUCCUCUGCUACACAACAGACAUCACCAGGAAACCCAAGGCGAAAAUGCCCCGCAGCUAAACAAGUUCAACAGCUUCCGCUUAAGAGGUGCACAGGUACCAAGGGCAGGGGCUGGCAGGUGUUUUCGUAAAGACCAAAGUGAAGAUUACCACAGUCAAAAGGGCCACUACAGGAAGUUGCAAUGGUGAAGAAGUUAACUGGAAGGUGCUGUGAACAACUACCAGACCAGUGACCAACAAAACAAGACAGUGACACAAGAUCUCAUGCAGGUGUACAGGAUGCAGUAAUGCAGCAGGACAGGUGUCUGAACUCACCAAACAACAAACACAGCUACCUAGAUAUAGAAGCUGCUCAGCUACAGUAUAAAGCUAUAGUUCAUUUACUGUACCUUGCCUUCCUGGAUGGUGACAACGUCAGGCAAACCUCCAAGUAUCCGGGCACGAUCUGAAAAUACAUGAGUGAAGUUUCCUUUAAUGUCUGCAAAAAUAACUCUGUCCCAGAUUUCAUUUCCCCUCUAGCGCUGUUCUUUUAUCUUAUUUUUGUACAAGUCUCUGUACAGGCAAAUGAAGAGAGUUAUUCAGUAUUCCUAGCACACCAUUUGUACAUGUAAAAUCAUGUCACUCUGCUGCAAAAAGCAGAUAUCUUAAUAUCCUACUAUCAAUCACCUCCUCAGUGAAAUUAAAGUAUGGGCCUUACCCUUACCUCCACUGAAUUCAGUUUGAGUUUUGAGUGCACAAAGAAUGUAGAAUUGGGCCCGAUGUUUCUAAGUUUCCAAGGUAAAAGUCUAGCAAUUCAGAGCUUAUGAAAAGAGAUGAGUUGCAGCCUAUAGAAGAGACUCAGAAACCAGUGAAGUUUAGGCUUCUGAUCUAAAUAAAAACACAAAUUCUGAUCUCAGUUACACCAGUGUAAAAUCUGGAAUAAUUCCAUUGACUUCAGUGGAAUUCCUCUGGAUUUAUCCUGGUGUAAACAAAAUCAGAAUCUAGCCAUUUGUGUUUAGUUUCAAAAUCCUACCACAAUCCAAUAUAAGUAAAGUGACCCUAGCAGGCACAUUCUCUGCUGCAGCUAUUCCAGGAAGUGGAAUUCAGUCUUUGUUAGUAGUGGGGGAGCCAUCAAGAGCAGAAAGUGGCUACAUGGAAUACUCUCCCCUUCAACAUAGGUGCUCUUUCCCCUCUGUAAAAUAGGGACUUUAUGGAGAAAUUUGUUGAAGCCAGAAGUGGAAGGAGCAGGAGUGGGGAGCUAACCUAUACCCAGGGGUGUGCCUUCUCCCCACUAUCCAUGACCAUCCAAAGUCAGAGUCAAAGUACAGCUGAGGAACAUCUAGGGGCAGCACAUUUACUGGUCCUGUCAUACUGGUUUGGGUGUGUGUGGUGGUGGGGGUUGCAGCAGAGUUUGGAGGAACUGGCCAGGAUCUUUAGGGUUAGGGACCCCGAAUGCUGCAUACCAAUUCCUCUGCAUUGCCUUUUCAGACUCCAUCUUUGCCUACACUAUAUUUCUAUGCUAGUCCCAAACACGUAGAGAGGGGAGAUUUUGCUGAGAUGUUGCAUUAAUCUGUUCCACCCACGCACUUUUAAAUAGAAGGGAAAGCACGUAGAGCUUAAUCUUUGUAGUUAAU